ACAAAACAGAGUCCAGUUAUUCAAAGGUGCCCCUUGAAACGACUGCCACGUCGUCCAUUUGGCCAACACGGAAGGUGCAGCCACCAUCCUAGAAAUCUCAAGCAGCCUCUCCGAGUUCCGUGGGACCGAUGGCUGUGAAAACGGUCUGCAAAGAGUUUUCUGCAGGACUGAGAGACUGAGGCUGUGUAAGCCCUAACAUCUGCUGAUUGGGUUACUACAAGAUUUUGGAUAUAGUUCCCUGUGCCGUACAGAAGAAAUUUGUUGUAUACCUAAUUUACAUAUAGUAGUUAGUAUUUAUUUUCAAGAAUUUCUAUAAUAACCCAUAUUGUUAUCUUUAGAACCAGAGGGGUGGCUUUAUUUUAGCCAUGGUUGAAAGAGUUUUGGAGUCAAGCUCCAGUUCUUAGAAGCUGUGUGACUUGGAGCGAGUGGGGCCAUAAACCUCUGAGCCCAGUCUUCUCAUCUGUAAAAUGGGAUAACACCAUUUACCUCUGAGGGUUGUUACUAUGACUAAAUGGGAUAACAGGUGUAGAAGUGCCUUAAAAACUGGAAGAUGCAGAUCAACUAGUAAUUACUGCCAUCCUCUCAUCUCUGAGAAUUUCUUUCAUUUCUUCACCCAGUGGUUUCCAAGCAAGACAUCAUCACACAUUCAUGCUAGUAAGAGCCUGAAGCUAGCACAUGACUUAUUAAAAAGAAAAAGGAGUGCCUCGUAUGUAGUGAGUACUCAACAAAUACAUGCAGAAUGAGUAAGUGCCGAGCUGUCCUCCGUGCGAUGUACCAGGAGAAACAGACAGAGGGCCAGUAGCUUGCUCACAAGCUGCAGUCCCGCAAAUCUUUGAAACUGUUGAUCGUAUGCUGUGCGCUGAUUAUGAACCCAGCAGACUCCUCCAUCUAAUGGCAGAAUUGAGGACAUUUGAGGUGUACAUCCCCAGAAGCUAACCACCUAAGUAGGGAGAGAAAAGGCUGGCUGACCCCUGGUCUGGGCUGAGACACAGAGGCCUGAACACACCGUAGCGUCUGCUGAGGAUCAGGUGAGAAGGGAUCUGGGUGUAACAGAGGAGGUGAGGCGGGAGGCAAGGAGAGACGGGACAGGUAAGAGGCUGGGGGCGGUGGAGGUGGUGAGGAGGCAGAUGGCAGGACUGAUGUUCUUGUUUCCAAGGUAGCAAAACAGCAUUGCUGAAUUUGCCAGGGACGUUCUGGGGUCUGGACCAUAUGACAGCCAGUCCUGGAGGGGCCUGGUGAUGACCCUGCGGCCAGGACUGCAACAGAGAGAGUGGGCAGCAGUGGCUCUGACAUCCCAUGAGGGGCGGGAGAGGCCUAGAGGGCUGUGAAGACGAGCCGCACCCUCCGCCGGCACCCACCCACACCCCAGGUAGCUUCAGCUCUUUCACACAUUUGGAUGCCAUCCACUGAGCUUGCGGGUGCUGGAGCAGGGAGAACUGGCUUCUACAAGAACAGCAAGGGCUGUCAGGGAAUAAAAGACAUUAGUCAGCCUUCAGCUUUGUUCUUUCCUCUCUCGUUCAUUCAUUUUAAACGCCUUGAAUGAACUUACUCCCUCAGUCUCCAAUUCAGCUCCCAUGUUCCUGAAUUUAGCUCCUGGCCUCCUAUCUCUCUGUGAGAACUGUGCUCAAAAUAAACAAUUUCUUAAUCA